UUCUAUAUAAAGUAACAGAUAGAGAGGAGAUGACUGGUGGAGAAAGAAUCGACCUUCAUUGGAACAACGCAAAAGAGUGGCGAAGCGACCAUAGCAGACUGCUCGUCUUCGUCAGUUGUGGAGGGUCUUUAGGAUGGUAGUCUGCUGGAUCCAGUUGUUUGCCAGCUUCUCCAUUCCCAGGAUGGACCUUAUUUGGUGAUUGUGAUUGAGGCCCGCAUAAUGCAUGAUAUAUUGAAUUGAAACCAUUUAAAUGUUUUGAAUAAGGUUUCUUCAGAGCCACAACUCCUUGAACUUGAUGAUAGUGAAGAAAAUAGUGAAACUGGAAAGAAUUUGGAAGAAGAAAAGAAUUGGGGCCUUUUCAGCAGCACUGGAUAUCAUAAACAAAGGACUCUUUUGAUUUAUCUCGGACAACCCUUUACCCGUAUUCAAGGUUCAUCGCUCAACACACCAUCCGAUUCAGACUUAACCAUUUUCUGCAUAAGUGUAUCUGGAUAUUGAGCUCAUCGCCUAACAUAGUGUCCGGGUUAAGACUUGAUCAUUUGUUGUUUCCAUUUCAAGUCCAAUUCUCAUCGUUUGUAGUCUUAUACGAAUUGUAGGACAUCGCUUGAGGGUCAUCCGGAUUACUUAUUUCUUGGACAUCAAUUUCAUCUUUUUCAUCCUGAUUCAACUUAGUCGCGAGCUUGUUCCUCGUAUAUACUUUCAUCCUGUUAGAACUGAAAUU